UGGGGAAUAUUGGACAAUGGGCGAAAGCCUGAUCCAGCCAUGCCGCGUGAGUGAUGAAGGCCCUAGGGUUGUAAAGCUCUUUCACCGGUGAAGAUAAUGACGGUAGCCGGAGAAGAAGCCCCGGCUAACUUCGUGCCAGCAGCCGCGGUAAUACGAAGGGGGCUAGCGUUGUUCGGAAUUACUGGGCGUAAAGCGCACGUAGGCGGAUUGUUAAGUCGGGGGUGAAAUCCCGGGGCUCAACCCCGGAACUGCCUUCGAUACUGGCAAUCUAGAGUCCGGAAGAGGUGAGUGGAAUUCCGAGUGUAGAGGUGAAAUUCGUAGAUAUUCGGAGGAACACCAGUGGCGAAGGCGGCUCACUGGUCCGGUACUGACGCUCAGGUGCGAAAGCGUGGGGAGCAAACA
rnacentral:rRNA from 1 species